AUACGGAGGAUCCGAGCGUUAUCCGGAUUUAUUGGGUUUAAAGGGUGCGCAGGCGGCCAUUUAAGUCAGCGGUUAAAUCGUGGGGCUCAACCCCAUUCUGCCGUUGAUACUGGGUGGCUUGAUUGCGGUCGAGGUUGGCGGAAUUCGUUGUGUAGCGGUGAAAUGCAUAGAUAUGACGAAGAACACCGAUUGCGUAGGCAGCUGACCAGACCGCAAAUGACGCUCAUGCACGAAAGUGCGGGGAUCGAACGGGAUUAGAUACCCUGGUAGUCCGCACAGUAAACGAUGAAUACUUGUUUUCGGCGAUAUAAUGUCGGAGGCAAAGCGAAAGCGAUAAGUAUUCCACCUGGGGAGUACGCCGGCAACGGUGAAACUCAAAGGAAUUGACGGGG
rnacentral:rRNA from 1 species